GACGAACGCUGGCGGCGUGCUUAACACAUGCAAGUCGAACGGAAAGGCCUCUUCGGAGGUACUCGAGUGGCGAACGGGUGAGUAACACGUGGGCAAUCUGCCCUGCACUUCGGGAUAAGCCUGGGAAACUGGGUCUAAUACCGAAUAGGACCAUUAGACGCAUGUCUUUUGGUGGAAAGCUUUUGCGGUGUGGGAUGGGCCCGCGGCCUAUCAGCUAGUUGGUGGGGUGAUGGCCUACCAAGGCGACGACGGGUAGCCGGCCUGAGAGGGUGUCCGGCCACACUGGGACUGAGAUACGGCCCAGACUCCUACGGGAGGCAGCAGUGGGGAAUAUUGCACAAUGGGCGCAAGCCUGAUGCAGCGACGCCGCGUGGGGGAUGACGGCCUUCGGGUUGUAAACCUCUUUCACCAUCGACGAAGGUCCGGGUUUUCUCGGAUUGACGGUAGGUGGAGAAGAAGCACCGGCCAACUACG
rnacentral:rRNA from 1 species